GCGGAGUAUUUCGAAAGAAAAGGGCCGUUGCGGACAUGGCAAAGAUUUCGAAUCAUAGACUGAUCGAACGGAGUUCGGCUUAUUGUCUAGUGGCGUGCUGAAUCUGACAUCUAUAAUGAGCAUUCAGAGCUACUAGAUGUCCGUCAGGUAAAUAAUAGGAGCGGCCGACGUCGUCGAUGUUUCUUCGGUUAGCCAUUGCAUUAUGAAGUUGUCCCUAGCAGACUACAGACAUUAAGUUUUCAGCCGGAGAAUUCGUGCAGAGAAGAUUUAGCCCUACAUGAAAGGUCGUAGACUUCAACAAUUUCAUACAAAUAUUAUACCGCCCACAAAACCAAACGGGUGCCUGGCUCAAAUGUGAUUUCGUCUCUCGUUUAUACGAACAAACAUCGCAGUCUCGUUUCUCGCGGUGCUCGUUCUUCAUAAUAUCGGUACGGCUGCAACGGGAUGGGCAAGAAUCGACUGAUUUUCUGUGGCACGUUACGUGUCGUCGAUACGCCUGAAACUGUCGGCCUUUUAUAUAUUAAUAUCUGAUCCGAGUUGGUAUUACUAACAUCGCGCUAAGUCAAUAGUGUGUUUUUCCUACUGAUGGGGCAAAUUUAAUAUUGACAAAUAUUUAAUUCACUGCUGUAUUAUCGAUCCGUUUUAUAACUGUGAUUAUGUCAAAACGAAUAGGAACUGCCAUUGCUCAAGCCUGAUAGAUAAGAUAAAGGCCGAACGCCAAACUGGAUGGAUAUGCCUUCUGCCCAUUAUAGUAAAGCUAGAUAUAUUUGAAAUUCUCCUUUAAAUUUGUUGUAUGAAGGCCAGGAUUGAUCAACAGCGAGUUUAGUUUGACUUGCAACCUUGGUUUCAAAGGGCGCAGAGAGAGUUUCCGUGCGGGACUCCUGCGAGUCUGUAUUGCCGCAUAUUAACGAUCUGAUUGACGGAGCAGAUAUUCCUUUGGCAGUAAAAAUAAACCCAACGUAGA